CAAAAGAGCAGAGAAGGAGGCCAAGAUGAAGGCCAUGCAAGAUAGCCUUGAGAAAAGUAAAGCUGAGAUGAAAGCAAAAUUUUCUGGUUUUGUUGAUCGACAAGAUUUGGUCGCUAGUGCUCGGAGACGUGCGGAAAAACUUAGAUCAUUCAACUAUCGCUCUCAAACCAGGGACCAGCUGGCAAUCAAUUCAAUUCAAAGCGAGG
rnacentral:misc_RNA from 1 species